rnacentral:rRNA from 1 species
UUUUGGCUAAGGGAUCGGCCUAUAUUGUAUCAUCUAGUUGGUGGGGUAAGAGCUUACCAAGGCAAUGACACAUAGCGGGUCUGAGAGGAUGAUCCGCCACACUGGUACUGAGACACGGACCAGACUCCUACGGGAGGCAGCAGUGGGGAAUAUUGCACAAUGGGGGAAACCCUGAUGCAGCAACGCCGCGUGGAGGAUGACACAUUUCGGUGCGUAAACUCCUUUUAUAUAAGAAGAUAAUGACGGUAUUAUAUGAAUAAGCACCGGCUAACUCCGUGCCAGCAGCCGCGGUAAUACGGAGGGUGCAAGCGUUAUUCGGAAUCACUGGGCGUAAAGGGUGCGUAGGCGGUUUGGAAAGUCAGAUGUGAAAGCCUAUGGCUUAACCAUAGAACUGCAUUUGAAACUUCCAGACUAGAAUACUGAAGGGGCAGAUGGAAUUAGUGGUGUAGGGGUAAAAAUCCGUAGAUAUCACUAGGAAUACCGAAAGCGAAAGCGAUCUGCUGGGAAGUUAUUGACGCUGAGGCACGAAAGCGUGGGGAGCAAACGGGGAUUAGAUACCCCCGGGUAGUCCACGCCCUAAACGAUGAAUGCUAGUCGUCGGGACGCUUGUCGUUUCGGUGAUGCACUUAACAGAUUAAGCAUUCCGCCUGGGGAGUACGGUCGCAAGAUUAAAACUCAAAGGAAUAGACGGGGACCCGCACAAGUGGUGGAGCAUGUGGUUUAAUUCGAAGAUACGCGAAGAACCUUACCUAGCCUUGACAUUGAUAGAAUCCUGUAGAGAUACGGGAGUGCUGGCUUGCCAGAACUAGAAAACAGGUGCUGCACGGCUGUCGUCAGCUCGUGUCGUGAGAUGUUGGGUUAAGUCCCGCAACGAGCGCAACCCUCGUCGUUAGUUGCUAACAGUUCGGCUGAGCACUCUAGCGAGACUGCCUUCGCAAGGAGGAGGAAGGUGAGGACGACGUCAAGUCAUCAUGGCCCUUACGGCUAGGGCUACACACGUGCUACAAUGGGGCGUACAGAGAGUUGCGAUACCGCGAGGUGGAGCCAAUCUCAUAAAGCGUCUCUCAGUUCGGAUUGUUCUCUGCAACUCGAGAGCAUGAAGCUGGAAUCACUAGUAAUCGUAGAUCAGCAAUGCUACGGUGAAUACGUUCCCGGG